rnacentral:rRNA from 1 species
CCUACGGGAGGCAGCAGUGGGGAAUAUUGGGCAAUGGGCGCAAGCCUGACCCAGCAAUGCCGCGUGAAGGAAGAAGGCUUUCGGGUUGUAAACUUCUUUGGCAGGGGAAGAGCAGAAGACGGUACCCUGAAAACAAGCCACGGCUAACUACGUGCCAGCAGCCGCGGUAAUACGUAGGUGGCAAGCGUUGUCCGGAUUUACUGGGUGUAAAGGGCGUGUAGCCGGGAAGGCAAGUCAGAUGUGAAAUCUGGAGGCUCAACCUCCAAAUUGCAUUUGAAACUGUUUUUCUUGAGUACUGGAGAGGCAGAAGGAAUUCCUUGUGUAGCGGUGAAAUGCGUAGAUAUAAGGAGGAACACCAGUGGCGAAGGCGGUCUGCUGGACAGCAACUGACGGUGAGGCGCGAAAGCGUGGGGAGCAAACAGGAUUAGAUACCCCAGUAGUC